UACGUAGGGGGCAAGCGUUGCCCGGAUUUAUUGGGCGUAAAGAGCGUGUAGGCGGCCAUGCAGGUCCGUUGUGAAAACUCGAGGCUCAACCUCGAGACGCCGAUGGAAACCGCAUGGCUAGAGUCCGGAAGAGGAGAGUGGAAUUCCUGGUGUAGCGGUGAAAUGCGCAGAUAUCAGGAAGAACACCCGUGGCUCAGGCGGCUCUCUAGUACGGUACUGACGCUGAGACGCGAAAGCGUGGGGAGCGAACAGG
rnacentral:rRNA from 1 species